rnacentral:snoRNA from 1 species
CUACGGGGAUGAUAAAAAUCGAACUCUCUCUUUCUGAUGGAUUGGUGAAGUGUAUAAAAAAAAAACACAAACAAACAAACAAAAAAAACGGGGAGA